AGUUUAAAAUCAAUAAAUAUCAAAAUGAAUACAAUAGCCAUUAACGAUAAGUUGCGGUAUAGUUAUGAUGUAAAAAUUAAACAAGUCAUUAAUAAUUCAUCUUCACGUGACACUUAUCAAGGGCCAAGACUACACAUAGAACUUCAAAUAUUAAGCUGACUGAUUCACUUCAUGAAACAAACGCCAGUGAUCUACUGAGCAUCUUCUAUGCAAAAAUGGGAGUCCUGAGCCACGACAAAUUGCGUAUACAACUAUUGUCACAAUGGCGUGGACGGUGAAGUAUAUUGUCAACAAGAUGUAUGUCCAGUUGGUCAGCUAACAAGAAAAUGCGAGCGGAGAUCAUCUGGGUGACAAUGUUUGUUUCCUACAGAACUAAGUAUAACUUGCCAUCAAUGGAACAAAAAACAAUUUGGCAGAUUUUUGAGAAUCAUACAAUUUUGAGAAUUUGGGAGAUUUCCAGAACAUUUUUACAAUUUUAAAAGUUUUAUGAGUUUUCCAGGACCUACUGGAAUUUUAGGAGGCUGCAAUCUAAAAUCUACAAUUAAUGGGAGACAUAAUGUUUACUAAUUUUCAACACUAUUAUUUAUAAAGAUAGCAGUACUAUAUGAACCAAACAGAAGUUACUGAAUUACCUCCAUC